rnacentral:rRNA from 1 species
AGAGUUCGAUCAUGGCUCAGGACGAACGCUGGCGGCGCGCCUAACACAUGCAAGUCGAACGGAGCUUAUGGGACAGAUCCUUCGGGUGAUUGAACAUAAGCUUAGUGGCGGACGGGUGAGUAACACGUGAGCAACCUGCCCUACAGUGGGGGAUAACGUUUUGAAAAGAACGCUAAUACCGCAUAACGUACCGGAAGGGCAUCCUUCUGGUACCAAAGGAGCAAUCCGCUGUAAGAUGGGCUCGCGUCCGAUUAGCCAGUUGGCGGGGUAACGGCCCACCAAAGCGACGAUCGGUAGCCGGACUGAGAGGUUGAUCGGCCACAUUGGGACUGAGACACGGCCCAG